CGGUUAGACCAAGAGGUUAAGUUAUAUCAUUAGGUGUAAAAGAUAGUUAGGCUAACGAUAAAAGCUUGUAAUUAACUAUUUAUAAGAAAGUAAAAUUUGUAUAUAAAUAGCAAAUCUAAUGGCAGCUUACUUUGCUGAAGCUAUGAUAAUUCUGAGGGAAACUGGGAUUAGAUACCCCACUAUUCUUAAUUGUAAAUCUAAUAAAAUUUACCAGAGUACUAUGAAUUAUAAAAUUUAAAACUCAAAGAGCUUGGCGGUGUUUUAGACCUAUCAGGGGAACCUGUCUCGUAAUCGACAAUCCACGUAAUACCUGACCUUAUUUUGUAAACAGUAUGUAUACCGUCGUCGUCAGGUAACUUCUAAAAAACUAAAAGUUAGCAUAAAACCUUUGAGGUAAAACGUCAGAUCAAGGUGCAGCUGAUAGUGAGGGGAGGAUGGGUUACAAUUACAUUAUUUGUAACUACGAAUAAUUACUUGAAAGAGUAAUUUAAAGGAGGACUUGAAAGUAUAAUGAAAUAUAUGAAUAAUUUGAAUAUGGCUCUG
rnacentral:rRNA from 1 species